rnacentral:rRNA from 1 species
UACGAAGGGGGCUAGCGUUGCUCGGAAUCACUGGGCGUAAAGGGUGCGUAGGCGGGUCUUUAAGUCAGGGGUGAAAUCCUGGAGCUCAACUCCAGAACUGCCUUUGAUACUGGCGAUCUUGAGUCCGGGAGGGGUGAGUGGAACUCCGAGUGUAGAGGUGAAAUUCGUAGAUAUUCGGAAGAACACCAGUGGCGAAGGCGGCUCACUGGCCCGGUACUGACGCUGAGGUGCGAAAGCGUGGGGAGCAAACAGG